GCAUGGGGUGGGUAAUAGGGCAUGUGAUUUGAAUGAGUAUUCCCAGCCAUUUAAUAUAUUCACAAGUCAAACUAUAAAGUAUUUCUUUAAAAAAAUUAUAGUAUUUCACUGAAGUUUGAAUGUACUUUCUCUUGCCAAAAUAAUCAGAGUCUUUCAUUUUUCUAAUGAUAAAAAUGUGCUACAUGUGUAGGAAAAUUUCCCAAAUGAAAAAUAACAUUUUCUAUGGCAGCACAUACAGUGCUUGAAUUUUUCACCUUAGAUUUUAUUCUAGCCAGACCUAAACUCUGUCUUACUUGCAUAAUGAUAAUUCAUGUCGUCAAACCAAACGCACUGUUUGCUGCUCGUUUGUCCAGGAGCCAUCUUUUCCUAAAGUGAGCAAUAUUACGUGCAUUUUGUCUGGCUGGCCGAGGGCUCCUCCCUACAGCUUCUGCAGCCAUGGAAGAGUCUGGAAGGACAGUGUUCGCUUGUACAAGAAGAGGGAAGGAUAGGAUGAGAAAAGCAAAAUCUUGGAGAGUCUGUGGUCGGAAGAAGAAAGCUGAAGCUGGUUAGGAGGAAGGAGUGUGUGAGUGAAUUAGGAGCUGAAGCAGUAAAGUAGCUUUCCCUGUGACCCUGAUGUGUCGGGCAUUUCUGUCUUAGACUAAAAGCAUAAUAAAAAAGGCACUUUGUUUAGGUUAACAGAGCAUUAUAUAACUGGAAAGUUUUACAGUUUUAUAUAUAUAGUGAAUAGUUUGUAGAGGAUAAAAAGACUUCCCUUUGGUUUAUUAUUUGGGUAAAAUAAAAACCCACGAAUCAUUUAAGGAUGCAUUUCUUUUUCUUUUUUCUGCCUUUUUUUUUUUAAGACAAAAGCUUGAAGGCAUAAAAUGGAGUUAUUUUCAUCGGGAUAUCACCCUCGAUGCUGCUGCUUUACUACAUGUUCAUAGUCAAAAUUAUUUCAUGUUUCCCUUGAAUAACUACGAUCAGUUUGAAAACAGCUUUGUUAAUUAGUAAGAGAUGACGCAAUAUAUCACUGCAUCUUUAGGGCUCUGGCGCCAGCUAGUGGUAGGAGAGGGGAGCCGCCCUGUCGCUCUCAAAUCUGGGAAGGCGUCGGUCUUCUCGCGUCCCCUUAUCCCUCAUCCUCCUCAUUUUUUUUUUCCAUCAGCAUAAUGGGGGAAUCAUUGCAGUGUGGCCAGAGAGGAGCAGACGAGAUUAUAGAUGAAAGUAGAGAAAAACGGUGGGCAGGGGCAGGGAGAGGAAAGGCCAGACAAAUGCAAUCAUUUCUCCAAAGGAUUUGAGAAGAGAUCAUUUAUUUGAAAUAUUCCUGCCAUGUUGAUGGAGCAGCUCAAUCUUUUGCCAGUGAAUCUUUAGCGUUUUGUUUUUCAUUUGUAGAUAUGGUUGAACAUAUACUUAGGACACGUAAUAACUAUGGAACUUCAUCACAAACACAGCACUGAGGACAUGUUAAGGAGACAUGCAUACAAGGAGAAUGCCAGGUGAACGUGAAGACCAUCAUUUGCAAGCCAAGAGAGGCCUGGAGCAGAUCCUUCAGAGCCCUCAGAAGGGACCAACCCUGCUGGCACCUUGAUUUUGGACUUCCAGCCUCCAGAACUAAGAACUUGAUGUAUACCUCCUGACCUGUUCAUCUUGUAGCUGCCUCUUGACAGGACUGCAACCUGGAACAAGGAGAGACAAAGGGAAGGAGGAGUCUGGAGCCAUAUUGAAGAUGAAAUUGAGAUAUGGACUAGGUGGUGGAUCGUUUUUAUAAGAGGACAUAAAAGAGGAUGCUAAAGCUAAUUGCCACAAUCAGAACUCAAAGACCUAGCAAAUGCAAGGUGGUAUUUAUUCUAAACUCAGCAAAGUAGUAGAAAAAUAGUUUUGAGAACAGUUUUAAGGAGACUAGGGUAACAGUGAGAAAAUAGUUCAUGGCUAGUCUGGACUUAGGACUUUAGGGUCGGCCUGGUGAAUUGAAGGGAAGCAGCUGAUACACUCUGGUUGCCUUGUACCCUGGCUUUUGGUGCUUUCCCAUGUGCUGUAGUCAUCAGUAAUCUGGAGGAAAUGCUAUAGAGGCAAAGACACCAUUAGAUGGGUGCUCAACUAGCAAACAGGAUGUGACCACAGAGUAGUUACCCCAAGACCAGGUCAGCAUGACCCAAAAGGCAGAAGAGGACAAGGUUUAUGAGUGUUGGGCUGAGCUCACGCCUGCUUGAACAUCUCAAGAACAAUGUUAAUGAUGGAAGAGAGAGAUAGGAGAGGAAACUCAUUAAACUUGCCAAAUAUGAGAUGUAGCUGGGUUGGCUCUAUGUAAGCAUGGCAGAAAAGCAUUUAGAAGUCAUAAUACAUUUAAAAUAAGAGCUACCAGCAUAGCAGUGACAUGAAGAAGGCAUGUGUUUUGUUAAAAAGUUUUAAAUACUCCUAUAAAAGAUAGUAAGGUACAAGUUGUUUGCUUGAUCAGCAAUGCUAAUUGCCUUUGAAGUGCAUGCCUGGGGAUUCCAUGGAGAGAGGACCCUGUUUCUCCACCCCAACCCAAAUUCACUGAGUUUAUGUCAGAAUGUUCAGAAGCCCCUUUACAAAUUCCUCUGAUUGCCUUGUUAGACACUGGCCACCUCCCUGAACCUGGGCCAAGAUGAGGGUCUACACCUUGGCUUAGUUCUACUAUGAAAGACUUUCCUGCAGUAAAAGUUACCUGUCUGAAACAUUCAGAAGAGUGAAAAUGCCACAUCUCCAAUUUCCAGCAAUAUAUUUGUCUGCCAUGAUUUGGCCUGGAAGCUUAAGCAGGAAGACCACUUGGAGCCAGACUUCAGAGUGAUCUGUCUCUAAGGAAUAACUUUCAUAUUGCAGCGUUCGGUUUUGCAAUUCUUCCUAAGCUACUCUAAAUUCGCAGCAUAAAUCUGCAGAAAGACUUCACCCUCCACAUCAAACCCUUAUAAGGAUCCAUUUCUGCUCUCAUUUUAGAAUAUCUUUUCUAAUAGCUAAAGGCAGACAGAGGCAAACCAAGAAAUCCAGACUUUGCAUCAACGGGUUAAAUCAUAUGUCAAAGGUGCAACCAUAACGUAUUACAAGCUUCUCAUCACAUAAUACAUCACUCAAGAAAAAAUAUUUGGGCAGCUUUUCUAAUUCAUCUUCCUGGUGUUAAAGGAGCACAUCUCCAGUGUUCGUGUCUUCUGUUUCAAUUAAAGCAAUCAUGCCUACUCUUUUAGGAAACUACUAAGGUUUAUUACCUCUUUGUUUCACUGCUAAUAUUCAGCUUCUCCUUGUGGUCUCCCCUUCCAAAUACAUAUUUUUUUCUUUCUAUCCGGUUUUGCUUCUCACCACAAUAUACACUUGUGGCUAUUGUUUGAUAAAAUGGCCACUAUAAAGAUGUAACUUGCUUAACAAAUAUCAGCAAGUGUUUAUGGUUUCCUGUGUACUUGAUGCACUGAGUGGGUGGAAGUGGGUAAGAGAAAGAUGAGGUGGUUCAUGUUCCCAGUAGGAAGAGAGAAUGUCAAUACUCAAAAUAGCUAGAAAACAAUUCACCAUCAGUAUUGAGACAGGCAUUUCAUUACUGUAUGGGUAAUAAUUAAGAAAUUUAAAAUAAAAACAUUGGCCCUCGU
rnacentral:lncRNA from 1 species